rnacentral:rRNA from 1 species
AUGGAUAUGACUGUUGCUUACUUUAAGAGGCGUCAAGCUGAGAAUGCUCAAUUCUACUACGCAACAGAAGUUGACAAAGAAACAAACAAAGUGACAUCUCUGUUUUGGGUGGAUGGAAGGACAAGAGCAUUGUACCCAAAGUACAAAGAUUAUGUGUCCUUUGACACAACAUUUUGCACAAAUCGGUACAAUCUGCCUUUCGCUCCUAUUGUUGGUGUGAACAAUCACUUGCAAACCGUGCUGCUAGGUUGUGCCUUGGUGCCAAAUGAACAAAUAGAAACUUUCAAGUAGGUGUUUCAGCAUUGGAUGAUUGCAAUGAAUAAUGAGCACCCGUUGCACCUAAUGACUGACCAAGACAAGUGAAUGGAAACAGCAAUAAAAGAUGUCUUCCCAAACACAGUGCAUAGGUGCUGCAAAUGGCACGUCCAGCGAAAAGCAAGGGAAAAGUUGGGUAGGAUCCUGAGCAUGGAUGAAAUUUUUGAUCAGGUUUUCUAUGGGGUUAUCAAUGAUUCAGAGACGGUGGAUGAGUUCGAGGAGAAUUGGCAGCAUAUGCUGCAUUGCUUUGAAUUGGUUGACAACAGACAUCUAAGCAACAUGUGGCGUACGCGAGAGACCUAG